GUAGGCCGAGUCGCUGAUGAUGACCGUCACAUCGGCCGCCCCGUCCUCAGGGAUCACGUCCACGUCCUGAACCGUGGCCUCCUUAUACAGCCAGCUGGGGACAGACGCGGGUUGUACGGAAGCAAGCAGAACCCGCUGGUCUCGAUCUCCUGACCUCGUGAUCCGCCUGCCUCGGCCUCCCAAAGUGCUGGGAUUACAGGCUUGAGCCACCGCACCCGGCCCCCCACGAUGCUUUUCUUCCUCACGUACCCCCAGAAUGACCUACAGGUGAGUACAGAACGGAGGGGCCCGGGUACCCCGUCACGAUACCUGUGCAGCGGGAUCUCCGCCAGGGCCACCUGAAGCCGGGCUUCCUUCGUGCGGGCGUUGCACCGGAAAAUGUGCAGGACGACUGUGAAGCGGUCAAACACCUCCACGCCCCAGGCGGCUUCCAGUUCUUUCUACAAAAUGAGAGAGCGACUGAGGAGCCACAGGGGAAGGCCAGGCGCUGGUGGCCAACCGCAGAGGAAGGAGGACGUCUGUGUCAUUAACUCCACCGUGUCCCCAUCUGUCCCCCGCCCGGCGGGACACUGUGGCGUCCACGCCUUCAUCACGGGGAAUACGGAACAAACAGCCAGCCACGUUCUGUGGUACCUUGGUCGGGGCUGCCAUCCUCUCCACGUUCAGGAAGACGCACGUGAUGUCCGGAGACCCUCGGAUCUUUUCUAACAGAAAGAGGGGGUCCCGUCAGAGGCCGGCCGUCCAGGUCCCUGGACUGCGGGAUGAGCCCGCGAUGCCCUCUGGAGUGCCCAGGUCACAGGCGUCCCCAGGAGCACGGGACCCAGGAUCCAGGAAGUCGGUGUGGGAGAGGGUGUGUCUCUAGGGCUGUGUGUCUCACACACAUACACAAGCAGACGGUGAAGACAUCCGGGCAGGGACACACACACAGUAAACACAUCCCAACAGGGACACAGACACACACGGUAAACACAUCCCAACAG